CUAUGUUACAUUUGAACCAUCUUUUCUCCGGUAAUUUCUAAAGUACCUUCCUAGUAAUUAUCCUAGGUUGUUGCUUCUCCAGAUAAGCAAUUAAGUAAAGUAACUGACUUGAAAUGUUUUUCAACCAUGGAUAUCUUACCCUGGCAAGGUAAUUAAGGUUAUUCCUUAUCUCAUGUACAACUCCUUAGAAGCGUACCUUUUCU
rnacentral:lncRNA from 1 species